AGCUUGACCCUUCCCCCCCCAGCCUCCCGUUCUCAUCUCAUAUAGGAAGGCCUCUCCUCAUUCUUUGUCUACUUUUCUCUGAAGAAGCACGAAUUGUGCGAAACGUCAGGAAUUUUUUCUUCUUAAAUUUUAAAUUAUACUCCUUUUAUCUUUUUACCCUUGAACAAAAAGGUUUGGACUAUGUGAAAUAGAAGAGGAUUACUCUCACUAUUACAAAAAGGACACAAUUUUUCCAACAAACAAAGACAAGCACAUGGACCUUUGGAGACGUGUUGGGGAUGGUAUGGAAGAGCUCUUUCCCGUAUGAGAUAUUCAUUUUUCUGGGUUGGGGAGUACUCCCAAAACCACUGUGUGUACACAUGAAGAUUUUAAAGUUUGGAGUGGAUUGAAGCUGAACCACUAUCAGAAUUGAAGCAUAAAGGAGUGAUCACUUGUGAAUGAAGUGUUUUUCUCCCACUUGAGAGGGGAGGUUUUUUCUCACCUUAGUGUGGAGUGCUUUCCUAGAAAGAUUGUUUUUAAGAAGUAAACAACCUAACCUAUAGUGGGAAUUUCAUGCGGACUGCUCCUUGGUAUACAUUCCCCUUCCCCCCAUGUUUUGAGGGGCUGAGGCCUGUAUCAGGCUUAGUUGCCAUUUCUGGAGCGACCACCAGAUGGCAGCAGACAAUGAUUUGUUGUAGGAGAAAAUGAGUUUGGGGAUUCCCAGCAAGGGUUCCGGUUAUUGAUUCUUUACCAUGACAGUGCCAGUAUCUAACCGUUUCCAGGCUCUAGUUAAUCUAAAUGACCAGGGUGAGUCUACUGGAGAAAUUAGGAUUAUUCCUCCUCUGCAAGAUGUAACCCUCACGAAGGGAUAUUUUAAGGCUUUACAAGCAAUUCAUCACUCAGAAAUGUUAGAUUACUCUGCAGUUAAUCAUUCUUUUCCAGCAGGUAUGGUAAGGCAGGUGAACAAAUUGGCGGCCUUUAUUAAACCCUCCUCGCCUAACCAACAGACCCUGGCAAAGGUCAAACUUAACACCAGCAGGUGGAUGGAGAACAAUAUGCAUAUUCAGAGGGAGCAUUAUGGGUAAUUGCCUUAUGCAUUCAGAAUACCUCAACUUAUAACCAGGAAGCUCUAGAUAAGGCGGUGAUGUGGGCAAAGGCCAGAUACAAACACAAAUGUACAUCUUCUUCAGUAACUACCUUAAAAGAUAUGCUGCAAAAACCCAUUGACCCACCUGCCUCUACUAAACUGAUAACCUCUCAUCAGGCUAAUUCCAGUUAUGCGGCUGCAGUGACUAGCAAGUCACCGACUGGCAAGGCCUUAACGGGAGCCCAGGCCCACAGGGACUCUGGAAUAUGCAGGAAUAUUCCAGGGGGAUCGAGUGACACCUCGGCAAGGGGCAAUAUGGUUAAGGAACAGGCCUUUAGUAUUCCUGUAGACAAACAGACAAACCAUAGCCUGACUAGCAACAGCAAUACCAUAGGGUUUGGGUACACAGGGAAGGGAGGUGCAGGUAGAGGUUCAUGUUGGGACUACUUCUCCCCGUAGAGUGGUUCCCUCUAUGAGCCCACCUACUAACCAACUAUCUCCCCUCUUAUGGGAAACCUGUCUCACCCCUCGGGAAUUAGGCCCUGCAAAGAGUGGAAGGACUAGCUUCAGACUUACCCCAACAAUCAAGAAGAGCACAGGGAUAUCUAAUCCCCAAACUCAGCGACCAAGAUGUAAUUUGGCCCAGCCUAAAGUCCCAUCCUUGAUAAUCCCAGGUAGAGAGCACUCAAAUGUACCUUUAACAGCAGAGGGAUUGGAGAUUAUUGUGAAUAACGGAAAUAGUCUAAAACUACCAUUGAAUAAUGUGGCUGUUUUGAUGGAUGACAUGGUUUUAUCCAAUUCUACUGCAGGUUCACAACAAGAUAAUCAUCAAGGUACGGUAGCAAUGGAAAACGGAAACGAAACGGGAUCUGGGACAGAACUAAUACUGGAACCUGUAAAAAGAGAUACACUUCUUUAUCCCACAUGUCAUUCCAGAACUGAAAGGAAAAUAAAUGAUUGGAGUAUUGAGA